CCGAGGUAGAGCAAAUCUCAAAAAAACAAUCUCAGUUCAGACUGCAGGCUGCAACUCGCCUGCACGAAGUCGGAAUUGCUAGUAAUCGUAGGUCAGCAUACUACGGUGAAUACGUUCCCGGGCCUUGUACACACCGCCCGUCAAACCAUGAGAGUUGGCAACACCCGAAGUCGGUAGUCUAACCGCAAGGAGGACGCCGCCGAAGGUGGGGUUGAUGAUUAGGGUUAAGUCGUAACAAGGUAUC
rnacentral:rRNA from 1 species